AUGAACGCUAGCGACAGGCUUAACACAUGCAAGUCGAGGGGCAGCACAGGUAGCAAUACCGGGUGGCGACCGGCGCACGGGUGAGUAACGCGUAUGCAACUUGCCUAUCAGAGGGGGAUAACCCGGCGAAAGUCGGACUAAUACCGCAUGAAGCAGGGGCCCCGCAUGGGGAUAUUUGCUAAAGAUUCAUCGCUGAUAGAUAGGCAUGCGUUCCAUUAGGCAGUUGGCGGGGUAACGGCCCACCAAACCGACGAUGGAUAGGGGUUCUGAGAGGAAGGUCCCCCACAUUGGUACUGAGACACGGACCAAACUCCUACGGGAGGCAGCAGUGAGGAAUAUUGGUCAAUGGCCGAGAGGCUGAACCAGCCAAGUCGCGUGAGGGAUGAAGGUUCUAUGGAUCGUAAACCUCUUUUAUAAGGGAAUAAAGUGCGGGACGUGUCCCGUUUUGUAUGUACCUUAUGAAUAAGGAUCGGCUAACUCCGUGCCAGCAGCCGCGGUAAUACGGAGGAUCCGAGCGUUAUCCGGAUUUAUUGGGUUUAAAGGGUGCGUAGGCGGCCUUUUAAGUCAGCGGUGAAAGUCUGUGGCUCAACCAUAGAAUUGCCGUUGAAACUGGGGGGCUUGAGUAUGUUUGAGGCAGGCGGAAUGCGUGGUGUAGCGGUGAAAUGCAUAGAUAUCACGCAGAACCCCGAUUGCGAAGGCAGCCUGCCAAGCCAUUACUGACGCUGAUGCACGAAAGCGUGGGGAUCAAACAGGAUUAGAUACCCUGGUAGUCCACGCAGUAAACGAUGAUCACUAGCUGUUUGCGAUACACUGUAAGCGGCACAGCGAAAGCGUUAAGUGAUCCACCUGGGGAGUACGCCGGCAACGGUGAAACUCAAAGGAAUUGACGGGGGCCCGCACAAGCGGAGGAACAUGUGGUUUAAUUCGAUGAUACGCGAGGAACCUUACCCGGGUUUGAACGCAUUCGGACCGAGGUGGAAACACCUUUUCUAGCAAUAGCCGUUUGCGAGGUGCUGCAUGGUUGUCGUCAGCUCGUGCCGUGAGGUGUCGGCUUAAGUGCCAUAACGAGCGCAACCCUUGCCACUAGUUACUAACAGGUAAAGCUGAGGACUCUGGUGGGACUGCCAGCGUAAGCUGCGAGGAAGGCGGGGAUGACGUCAAAUCAGCACGGCCCUUACGUCCGGGGCUACACACGUGUUACAAUGGUUGGUACAACGAGCAGCCAACUCGCGAGAGUGAGCAAAUCUCUUAAAACCAAUCUCAGUUCGGAUCGUACUCUGCAACUCGAGUACGUGAAGUCGGAAUCGCUAGUAAUCGCGAAUCAGCAUGUCGCGGUGAAUACGUUCCCGGGCCUUGUACACACCGCCCGUCACACCAUGAGAGUUUGUAACACCCAAAGUCGGUGGGGUAACCUUUUGGAGCCAGCCGCCUAAGGUGGGACAGAUGAUUGGGGUG
rnacentral:rRNA from 1 species